rnacentral:rRNA from 1 species
AUUGAACGCUGGCGGCAGGCUUAACACAUGCAAGUCGAGCGGGGGAAGGUAGCUUGCUACUGGACCUAGCGGCGGACGGGUGAGUAAUGCUUAGGAAUCUGCCUAGUAGUGGGGGACAACAUCUCGAAAGGGAUGCUAAUACCGCAUACGUCCUACGGGAGAAAGCAGGGGAUCUUCGGACCUUGCGCUAAUAGAUGAGCCUAAGUCGGAUUAGCUAGUUGGUAGGGUAAAGGCCUACCAAGGCGACGAUCUGUAGCGGGUCUGAGAGGAUGAUCCGCCACACUGGGACUGAGACACGGCCCAGACUCCUACGGGAGGCAGCAGUGGGGAAUAUUGGACAAUGGGGGGAACCCUGAUCCAGCCAUGCCGCGUGUGUGAAGAAGGCCUUAUGGUUGUAAAGCACUUUAAGCGAGGAGGAGGCUACUCUAGUUAAUACCUAGGGAUAGUGGACGUUACUCGCAGAAUAAGCACCGGCUAACUCUGUGCCAGCCGCCGCCGUAA